AUGUUGAUGCAAGACUACUUCACGGACAAUCCAACAUAUCCGCCACACAUCUUUUGCAGAAGGUACCGAAUGCGCCCAUCCCUCUUUGUAAAAAUAGUGCAAGCUUGCGAGGCCAAUUGUCGGUAUAUUACUCAAAGAAGAAAUGCCGUAGGCUUGAAGGGAUUUAGUGCAUAUCAAAAAAUCGCGGCAGCUAUGUGGGUAAUUGCAUACGGCAUUCCGGCUGACUAUGUCGAUGAGUAUGUUCGCAUUGGUGAAGAUACUACAAUUGAGUCAGUGCGUACGUUUACCAAAGUGAUCAUCCGUGUCUUUUGUCCUGAAUAUCUUCAGGCACCCAACGAGGAAGACACAAAAAAUUUGAUGGCAGCAAGUGAGAGAAAAGGUUGGCCUCGCAUUCUAGGAAGCAUUGAUUUUAUGCAUUGCACUUGGAAAAACUGCCCGAAGGCGAGGCAGGGAACGUAUUGUGGCAAGUCUCGUGAUGCAACAAUUGUGCUAGAGGCCGUACGUAGCAUCCGAGAAUAUAUGGCUCUGGCAUUGAUUUCUUCGUAUAUCAUGUACUCUCAAUGA
rnacentral:rRNA from 1 species